AUUGAUGAUCGUGAGUCCUAUAACUUUCCUACUCCAUUGGAGGUGUCAAACAACAGGUCUGGCGAACCCCUGAUGGUUAACAGAGGCGGUCAAAAACUGACUACUAACGAUGCCACCCCGUCUCGAUCACUUGGAGUGCUUCCCCUACUGCCUGAAGAUGACGCCGUCCUGAAAGAACCUUACUUUGGAUCGGGACACCCCUCGAUGAGGACACUGCUCGAGAUAUUUUGAAGAAUGCUUUGGGUGUAGUGGUUAUUGAUGAUCGUGAGUCCUAUAACUUUCCUACUCCAUUGGAGGUGUCAAACAAGGAGGACGUGGCUGUUGGCAGACUUCGUCGUGACCUAUCUCAGGAUUCGAAUCAACGGUUGCCUUUAUGAAUUGUUUUGGUGAGAGAUGAUGAUGCUGGUUUUAGGAGUUUGGAGCCUGAAACCUCUGUGGAUGAAUGGCGGAAGUGUCGAGCUAGAUCUCUUAGGAGAAUAACAAUGACGUGCAUGAUUUGAAGUACAAAUAUGUUGGAAAGAUGA